rnacentral:rRNA from 1 species
AACGAACGCUGGCGGCAGGCCUAACACAUGCAAGUCGAACGCUCGUAGCAAUACGGGAGUGGCAGACGGGUGAGUAACACGUGGGAACCUUCCCUAUGGUUCGGAAUAGCUCAGGGAAACUUGGGGUAAUACCGGAUAAGCCCUUCGGGGGAAAGAUUUAUCGCCAUUGGAUGGGCCCGCGUCGGAUUAGCUAGUUGGUGAGGUAACGGCUCACCAAGGCAACGAUCCGUAGCUGGUCUGAGAGGAUGAUCAGCCACACUGGGACUGAGACACGGCCCAGACUCCUACGGGAGGCAGCAGUGGGGAAUAUUGGACAAUGGGCGCAAGCCUGAUCCAGCCAUGCCGCGUGAGUGACGAAGGUCUUCGGAUUGUAAAACUCUUUUGGCGGGGACGAUAAUGACGGUACCCGCAGAAUAAG